AGUGUGGACACCUCGGAGAUGGGGACAGAUGGUCCGAGCACAAGGCUACAGCCCUUGACUUCUAACACUGUUUCCCUCAUCUGCUAAAGGAUGUGGAAGCCUGGUACAGUGGCACACACCUUUAAUCCCAGGACCCAGAAAGCAGAGGCAGGCAGAUCUCUGUGAGUUUGAAACCAACCUGGUGUACAGAGUAAGUUCCAGGACGGUGAGACCUCGACUCUAAGGAAAGGGUAUGGAAAGCGUUGUCUUUGCCAGUUCUGGGGUGGAGGAGAAUAGCAUGGUAUCUCAAAACUUGUUUUGAGAAAUGAGCUGAUAUCGUAGUGUUAGUGGCUGUUUGGAAAGGCCUGGUGCCGGCUUUGGGAGGCCCAGCGAUCGAGGCUCCUCUCUCCCCGCUUUCUUGUCAUUUCCUCUUUUGCUUCCAACAUUAUUGUCAAGGUCAAACCCCCGUCCCUCAAACAUAGGAUUUGAGUUGUCUUGGGGGGCGGGGGGGUUGUCGCUGUUCCUGUGACAACAUCGUAACUAAGGUGCCUGGCGCUGUGCCUGGCCCAGCGUUAGUCUAAUGGUCAUCGCCUUCCACACGGAUGUCCCCAUACAUCAGUUCCCUGCAGUAGGGUAGGAUGAUGGCCGAGAGGCUUUGGACUGUAAGGUCUAAUUGCUUAUAAUGGUGUAUAGUAUAGGGUACUCGAGCAGGCUGCAUUUCACUUACAUGCCAAGUCCUGUUUUUUGUGAUGUUUUUUAACCAAGGUGUCACUAUACGGACUGCAAAGAGGCUUGGCCCUCACUGUAUGGCCCUGACUGACCUUGAAGUCGCAGGACUCACCCUACUGGGAUCUCUCAAGUACAGAGAUUACAGGUUGUCUCUCUGACGUCACCACACAGAGAAAUACCUGCCUGCCACGCUCAGGAAGGAGCUUAGGAGGUGUCUGCCCAGUCAGCUAACUGACCAGCCAGCUUGGAACCAUAACAGCCAUGCUGGCCCAUGGCUCCCUGAGGACUGAGGCCACUGAGCAUCCAUGGCUGACACCAGUCUUCAUAUGACUGGAAUGUCAGUAUUUUUCUGUGGUCAGUAUGCAUGUUCUCAAUUUUUAAACAAUUUUUAUUUUAUGUGUGUGCGUGUAUGCAUGUCUGUGUUUUGUGUGUGUGUGCGAGAGAGAGAGAGAGAGAGAGAGAGAGAGAGAGAGAGAGAGAGAGUCUAGGUUCUUGCAUGUCAUGGCAAUUGUGGAAGUCAGAGGACAGUAUUUGGGAGUCGGAUUUGGCCUAUCACCUAGUUGAGGCUGGAUCUCUCUUGUUUUUGCUGUGUAUUCCAGGCUCACUGUGGUUUUCCUGUCCUUGGCUCCUAUGCUGCCUCAGGAGUGCUCUAAGCACACAUGCUUGCUGCCCCAUGCAGCGUUCUGUGUGGAUGUGCUUCUAGUUUUUAUUUUUUUUCUCUAAUUUAUCUUUUAUUCACUUUACAUCCCCAUGGCAGCCUCCUCCCUCCUCUCCUUCCAGUCCUACCCUUACAAAUCCCUUCCCCCAUUACCCCCUCCCUUGCUCCUCAAAAAAGGGAAAUCCCCUCCUGGGUACCACCAGCCCUGGGACAUCUAGUCCCAGCAAGACUAAGCACAUCCUCUCCCACUGAGGCUUAACUGGCAGUCUAGGUAGGGGGAGGGGAUCCGAUGGCAGGCCACAGAGUCAGAGACAGCCCCCACCCUGCUCCCAUUGUUAGGGGACCCACAUGAAAAGCAAGCUGCACAUCUGCUACAAGUGGGUAGGGAUCUAGGUCCAACUCCUGCAUGCUCUUUGGUUGAUGGUUCAGUCUCUGUGAGCCCCCAUGGGCCCAGGUUAGUUGACUCUAUAGGUCUUCUUGUGGUGGCCCUUGACCCCUCCAGCUUCCUCAAUUCUAUCCCCUACUCUUCCACAAGGCUCCCCGAGCUCCACCUGGCAUUUGGCUGUGGGUUUCCAUCACCUGCUCAAUGAAGUUUCUCAGGAGGCAGUUACUCUAGGUUCCUGUCUGCAAGCAUAGCAGAGGAUCAUUAAUAGUAUCGGGGGUUGGCUUUCUCCCAUGGGAUGGGUCUCCAGUUGGGCCAGUCAUUGGGUUAGCCAUUCCCUCAGUAAACAAGAAUUCUUAACAGAGAAAUCUGGAAUGGUUGAGAAACACCUAAAGAAAUGUUCAUCACCCUUAGUCAUCAGGGAAAUGCAAAUCAAAAAACUCCUGCACCCGUAAUGGCUGUAGAAUGGCUAAGAGUAACAGCAAGUGACAGCACAUGCCGGCGGGGAUGUGGAGCAGGAGGAACACCCCUCCACUGCCGGGGGGAGUGAACAGCUGUACAACCACCGUGGAGAUGAAUUUGGCACUUUCUUAGAAAAGGGAAUAGUUCUACCUCAAGACCCAGUUAUACCACUCCUGGGUGUAGACCCAAAAGAUGCUCCACCAUCCCACAGACACUUGCUCAAAUACGUUCAUAACAGCUUUAUUCAAAAUAACCAGAAACUAGCAACAACCUAGAUGUCCCUCAACUGACCCCACAGACCCCAGAAGCUGAGUAAUAAGGGGGCCCCAGGGAGGAUGCUCGAAUCUUACUCAGAAGGGAAAAAUAAAUAGUUACCAGAGGUGG
ensembl:lncRNA